AGAGAGAGAGAGAGAGAGAGAGAGAGAGAGAGAGACGAAAGGAGGGAAAGGUUGUAUCUUCUGGGGUGGAGCUUCGUUUCCGUUUAUGCGUACAUUCACACUCUGAAGGUGACAAGCAACUGGACUGUAGCCACAGCUAUCCCAAGGCAGUCUGACAGAGGCGUCAUCGACCCCUCUCGCCCCCACCAGCAGGCAAGGACAGUGAAGCGUCUUGACCAAGGACACAACAACCGUCAAACAGAGUGGUGGGUUCACUGAGAGUGAGAGCCGAGCAGCAAUGGGACAAAAAGUGGGUUGUCUGCUCUUUGGAUUCACUAUAAAGAAUCAGUUUUUAGAGUUGAUUAGCUGGAAAGGGUUUAAAAGGAUCAAGCCCCACCCACCAAGCGAGCAAGGAAGUUUGGAUGAGCACCUGGUUGGUCGCGUGUCUCCGAGCCUCGCUCCCGCUCCUGCUCUAUUGAUGUCACUUUCUGUUUGUUAACCACCUCCUUGUGUUGUUUGGUCUGGGGAUCGUCCUUGGGUUGUAGGGUGAGUGAUCCGGUGAGGCAGGGUGAGGGAAGCGGCCCGAAUCCGACGGCCAACUACUGGCUCGUCUGUGAAUGCUCCCACACUUUUGUUUAUUUUGCCACUAUUCCCCAGUACCUCUAUGUCCAACCUUGGGUUGA